UACGUAGGGGGCUAGCGUUGUCCGGAAUCAUUGGGCGUAAAGCGCGUGUAGGCGGUCCGGUAAGUCCGCUGUGAAAGUCGAGGGCUCAACCCUCGAAUGCCGGUGGAUACUGUCGGGCUAGAGUCCGGGAGAGGUGAGUGGAACUGCGAGUGUAGAGGUGAAAUUCGUAGAUAUUCGCAAGAACACCAGUGGCGAAGGCGGCUCACUGGCCCGGUACUGACGCUGAGGUGCGAAAGCGUGGGGAGCAAACAGG
rnacentral:rRNA from 1 species